GAUGAAGAACGCAGCGAAAUGCGAUAAGUAAUGUGAAUUGCAGAAUUCAGUGAAUCAUCGAAUCUUUGAACGCACAUUGCGCCCCCUGGUAUUCCGGGGGGCAUGCCUGUUCGAGCGUCAUUUCACCACUCAAGCCUCGCUUGGUAUUGGGCAACGCGGUCCGCCGCGUGCCUCAAAUCGACCGGCUGGGUCUUCUGUCCCCUAAGCGUUGUGGAAACUAUUCGCUAAAGGGUGUUCGGGAGGCUACGCCGUAAAACAACCCCAUUUCUAAGGUUGACCUCGGAUCAGGUAGAGAUACCCGCUGAACUUAAGCAUAUCAAUAAGCGGAGGA
rnacentral:misc_RNA from 1 species